rnacentral:tRNA from 1 species
UGGCCGGGAAUCGAACUCGGACCGCCCGCGUGGCAGGCGAGCAUUCUACCACUGAACCACC